UCUCAUUUACUGUCAAAAAGUUCCUGGAGUAACAAGUACAAAGUGAAUUAAGUGAAAUAAUUGAAGAACAAUGUGAAAAUGGGCACGGUGUGCAGGUUAAAAAUCGACUUCUGAGAAAUAUGCCCAGAGAAAGAGCGUGCAUUGUUUUCGAAGUAGGACGACCUGAAGCGCAGUGUUUCCUUUUUACGAUAGGAAGAUUAAAAACUAUCUCAGCAGGCAACAGCUUACCGAAGCACAGCCGGCAAUAAAUGAAGAUACCCAGGACUCUAUUUGUUAUUUUGCUUGACACCGCGUUUCGUUAAAUAUGUUUAGC